CUGAUAAAGGCAACGCUCCCGAAAGGGAGUAGACGCAAAGUCACCGGUCUAAAGGGCAACAACCCAACGACAGCGGGACUACCGG
rnacentral:ncRNA from 1 species